rnacentral:rRNA from 1 species
CCUACGGGGGGCUGCAGUAAGGAAUAUUGGUCAAUGGACGAAAGUCUGAACCAGCCAUCCCGCGUGCAGGAUGAAAGCCCUAUGGGUUGUAAACUGCUUUUAGCAGAGAAGAAAAGCUUUCAUUCAUGAGAGUCUGACGGUAUCUGCAGAAUAAGCACCGGCUAACUCCGUGCCAGCAGCCGCGGUAAUACGGAGGGUGCGGGAGUUAUCCGGAAUUACUGGUUUUAAGGGGGACGUGUAAGGCAGUGUAGAAAUCUUGUCGCUUAACGAUAAAAUUGCCAAUGAUACUGGUACUCUUGAAUUGGGUUGAGGUGAGCGGAAUGUGACAUGUAGCGGUGAAAUGCAUAGAUAUGGCAUGGAACACCAAUUGCGAAGGCAGCUAACUGGGCCUUGAUUGACGCUGAGGCACGAAAGCGUGGGUAGCGAACAGGAUUAGAUACCCCAGUAGUC